GAAUAUUGCGCAAUGGCCGCAAGGCUGACGCAGCGACGCCGCGUGCGGGAGGACGCCCUUCGGGGUGUAAACCGCUGUUGCCCGGGACGAACCCCUGGUUUCGACCAGGCUGACGGUACCGGGUGAGGAAGCACCGGCUAACUCCGUGCCAGCAGCCGCGGUAAUACGGAGGGUGCGAGCGUUGUCCGGAAUCACUGGGCGUAAAGGGCGCGUAGGCGGUGGCCGAAGCGUGCGGUGAAAGUCCGGGGCUCAACUCCGGAUCGGCCGUGCGAACUGGGUCACUCGAGCACUGUAGAGGCAGGUGGAAUUCCGGGUGUAGCGGUGGAAUGCGUAGAGAUCCGGAAGAACACCGGUGGCGAAGGCGGCCUGCUGGGCAGUAGCUGACGCUGAUGCGCGACAGCGUGGGGAGCAAACAG
rnacentral:rRNA from 1 species